GAUGAACGCUGGCGGCGUGCCUAAUACAUGCAAGUCGGACGAAGGCGCUUGAAUGGUAACAGGAAAGCGACUUAGUGGCGAAUGGGUGAGUAACGCGUUGGUGACCUACCCCAUAGAGGGGGAUAACACCGGGAAACUGGUGCUAAUACCCCAUGAGGUUUGGAGGGUUAGAGGCCUUCAAAAGAAAGGAUAAAACCGCUAUGGGAGGGGCCUGCGUCCCAUCAGCUAGUUGGUGGGGUAAAAGCGCACCAAGGCGACGACGGGUAGGGGACCGGAGAGGGUGACCCCCCACACUGGCACUGAAACACGGGCCAGACACCUACGGGUGGCAGCGGUAGGGAAUAUUGCACAAUGGGCGAAAGCCUGAUGCAGCAACGCCGCGUGCGCGAUGAAGGCCUUCGGGUCGUAAAGCGCUUUUCUGAGGGACGAGAAAGGACGGUACCUCAGGAAGAAGGUUCGGCUAACUACGUGCCAGCAGCCGCCGUAA
rnacentral:rRNA from 1 species